GUGGGGAAUUUUGGACAAUGGGCGCAAGCCUGAUCCAGCAAUGCCGCGUGCAGGAAGAAGGCCUUCGGGUUGUAAACUGCUUUUGUACGGAACGAAAAGGCUCUGGUUAAUACCUGGGGCUCAUGACGGUACCGUAAGAAUAAGCACCGGCUAACUACGUGCCAGCAGCCGCGGUAAUACGUAGGGUGCAAGCGUUAAUCGGAAUUACUGGGCGUAAAGCGUGCGCAGGCGGUUUUGUAAGACAGACGUGAAAUCCCCGGGCUCAACCUGGGAAUGGCGUUUGUGACUGCAAAGCUGGAGUGCGGCAGAGGGGGAUGGAAUUCCACGUGUAGCAGUGAAAUGCGUAGAGAUGUGGAGGAACACCGAUGGCGAAGGCAGCCCCCUGGGAUGACACUGACGCUCAUGUACGAAAGCGUGGGUAGCAAACAGGAUUAGAUACCCUAGUAGUCC
rnacentral:rRNA from 1 species